rnacentral:rRNA from 1 species
ACGGGAGGCAGCAGUGGGGGAUAUUGCACAAUGGGGGAAACCCUGAUGCAGCGACGCCGCGUGAGUGAAGAAGUAUUUCGGUAUGUAAAGCUCUUUAAGCUGGAAAGAUAAUGACGGUACCAGCAGAAUAAGCCCCGGCUAACUACGUGCCAGCAGCCGCGUAAUACGUAGGGGGCAAGCGUUAUCCGGAUUUACUGGGUGUAAAGGGAGCGUAGACGGUAAAGCAAGUCUGAAGUGAAAUCAUAGGGCUCAACCCUGUAAUUGCUUUGGAAACUGUUUAACUGGAGUACCGGAGGGGCAGGCGGAAUUCCUGGUGUAGCGGUGAAAUGCGUAGAUAUCAGGAAGAACACCGGUGGCGAAGGCGGCCUGCUGGACGGUAACUGACGUUGAGGCUCGAAAGCGUGGGGAGCAGACAGGAUUAGAUACCCUGGUA